CUUUCCUGCAGUGAAGCACCUACUUAAUGUCAAUUUACAUUUAUUCUUCAGAUCGACUAGUGAUAGAAACGAUUUCUAGCUUUAUAAAACAUGUGACUGGAAAGCCUAGCAUUAUGGAACAUAGUUAUAAUUCUAGCUACUUUAGAGACCAAGGUAGGAGAAUUUGUAUUUCAGACAGCCUCAGUAAAUUGCCAAGCACUUAGGCAAUAAUGUAAAAAACGGUCUCUAAUGCAAAUAGAAACACUUGUCUGUAUAGACAACAAAAACUUUUCCACACCUUUUAAAUUUUAUCUGUGUAGUGCUGACUGUCCAGGAGCUCAGCUGGAGUCAUGGCUGGUUUCAAAUUCAGAUCCCAUCCCCUGGCUUUUUGUUGGUUUUGGUGUUUUGCAACAAGGCUUCUCUGUUUAUACCUAGCUAUGCUAGAACUCACUCUGUGAACCAGGUUAGCCAGUGCUUAGAUUAAAGGGUUGCACUGCCACCACCACCCUGCUUUUAUUUUUUAUUAGUAAUAUAUUUAAAAACUUCAAUUUCUAAUGGGCAUAUAAAAGUAUCCCAGUUUGUGUUAAUAGUGUAUACCCCCAGAUUCUAGGCUUGCAAGGCUAAGACAGAGGGAGGGUAAGUUAAAGACUUGCCAGCACCUAUAUCAACAAACAAAAAAACAAACAAAACCUAUUGUGUUUGGCUGUGAGACAACUCUCCAGUAUACCUCACCCCCAUUAUUUUAAGACGAUUAGAUGGUCAUUACCAAAACUACAUCUUGUGUAAUGCCAACAAUCCUGUUGAUAGAUGAUGAGGAAUUGCUUCCAAUUAGUAUUUUAUAGUCAUGUGGAAAGUACUGUGUGUAGCAGCCUGGUGUUCACUGAUUUUUCUCCUCCUAAGCUAGACUUCACUGACUUAGAUACUGCUUUGCAUCGGAACAACUGUCCCAAGUUACUUUUCUGUUGCUGUGAAGGCAACAUGACCAAGUCAACUUACAAAAGAAAGAAUCUCUAGGGAACCUACAGUUGAGGGGGUUAGAGUUCAUGACCACUGGUGAGGAGCAUGGCUGCAGGUGGGCUAGCACACAGUGGAGUGUGAGGUGACAGCUCAGACUGCAUCUACAAGCAUGAGAGAGAGAUGUGGUGGGCGUGCACUAAGAUGGGGAUGAUGUGGGCCUCUGAAACUUCUGCCCAUCACCAGUGUCACACCUCUUUCAAAAAAGCCAUACUUUUAGUUCUUCUCAAACAAUUCUACCAACUGGAGACACAUAAGAGUCUGUGGGAGCCAUUCUCACACAACCACAUUUUUCUCCCUGGCCCCCAUAGACUUGUGGCCACAGCAGAAUACAAAAAUACUCUUAAUACAACUUCAAAAUUCCCCAGUUUCAGUCUCAAAACUAUUUAACUGUCCAAGGUCUCUUCUGAGACUCAAGGCAAUCUUGACUCAAGGCAAUUAUAAGCCCCCUAUAAAAUCAAAAAUGAAAUUUCAUAACUCCAAUAUGAUGUCAAAGCACUUAAAUCAGUCUGCCCUCCCAACCUUUCUGAUUGUUACCGACUUCUCUCUUUUGGCCUGGCCACACACCUGGCUUUAUGGCUUUCUUAACCCUGGAGGAAGAGUUCGCAAGCCAGAACCACAUUUGCCCUAAACUACCAAAUCCUACUGCCUGCUUAGGGUAGGACCUGGCCUUGCCCUUCAGUUACAUUUGCAUUAAUCUGGUGCUCUGCUUUCCUCCUGCAUUUUCUCUGUUCAAGCAGGAAGGUUACAGGUGGGGGCUGGCCCUGAGGCACCACUCCUUCUAUUCCAUUAUCUAUAAAACCUCUCCUAAUCUCUUUCAGCCUUGGUCCAUCAUUAAAUUCCCUGGUUCUCCUUUUCAAGCUGAAAAUUUUCAUUUAUUUUUCCCCAGCCUUCUCAUUUUCAUUGUAGUGCAGAAUGAGAGCAAGUCCUAUUAACCUAUUGAAAAGUCAGAAUUAGGCUAUCGGCCAGUGAAAUUUGUCCAAAACUUCUCAGGCAGAUUCUUUUGACAAGUACAAAACAAC
rnacentral:lncRNA from 1 species